rnacentral:rRNA from 1 species
GACGAACGCUGGCGGCGUGCUUAACACAUGCAAGUCGAGCGGAAAGGCCCUUUCGGGGGUACUCGAGCGGCGAACGGGUGAGUAACACGUGAGUAAUCUGCCUCUGGCUUCGGGAUAGCCACCGGAAACGGUGAUUAAUACCGGAUACGACGCAUCACUGCAUGGUGUGUGCGUGGAAAGUUUUUUCGGCCAGGGAUGUGCUCGCGGCCUAUCAGCUUGUUGGUGGGGUAAUGGCCUACCAAGGCUUCGUCGGGUAGCCGGCCUGAGAGGGUGACCGGCCACACUGGGACUGAGACACGGCCCAGACUCCUACGGGAGGCAGCAGUGGGGAAUAUUGGACAAUGGGCGGAAGCCUGAUCCAGCAACGCCGCGUGAGGGAUGACGGCCUUCGGGUUGUAAACCUCUUUCAGCACAGACGAAGCGCAAGUGACGGUAUGUGCAGAAGGAGGACCGGCCAACUACGUGCCAGCCGCCGCAGUAACAC